rnacentral:rRNA from 1 species
CCUACGGGCGGCAGCAGUGGGGAAUAUUGCGCAAUGGGCGAAAGCCUGACGCAGCGACGCCGCGUGAGUGAAGAAGUAUUUCGGUAUGUAAAGCUCUAUCAGCAGGGAAGAAAAUGACGGUACCUGACUAAGAAGCCCCGGCUAACUACGUGCCAGCAGCCGCGGUAAUACGUAGGGGGCAAGCGUUAUCCGGAUUUACUGGGUGUAAAGGGAGCGCAGACGGCUGUGCAAGUCUGGAGUGAAAGGCGGGGGCCCAACCCCCGGACUGCUCUGGAAACUGUAAAGCUGGAGUGCAGGAGAGGUAAGCGGAAUUCCUAGUGUAGCGGUGAAAUGCGUAGAUAUUAGGAGGAACACCAGUGGCGAAGGCGGCUUACUGGACUGCAACUGACGUUGAGGCUCGAAAGCGUGGGGAGCAAACAGGAUUAGAUACCCCAGUAGUC